rnacentral:lncRNA from 1 species
CCCAGGAGACCAUCAGUACUGGAAAUGAGGGCAUUGGGCUUCAACUGGAAAUGUUUCCCUUGGCACAGACCCAGGCUGGAAGAAUGGUGCCCGGUGAGAGGUCACGCUAUGAGGACAAACAUGCAAUUCCAAAGGCCUGCCAGCCACACCAAAGAGCUUCUCCCAAGGCAUGAACCAGGAGAGGAAGCUGCAGAGUGGGAGGAGAGUGAUGUUUUGAACCAGAAAACAAGAGUCAAAUGAGGCUAACAAUGCAUAAAGCUUGGGUACAGCAUAAAGUGUAUUUCCCCUUUGUUUAAUCACUAAUGAAAUGCUUCUGAACAUGGAAUACCUCAAAAAACAAGACAUAGAAUAUAAAAAAGGAGAAAGAGGAAAAUGAAAAGAAAGUGAAGAAUCCCUUAAUACUCUACAUAAGGAAAAAUAAAAAGUUGGCUGUUUGUACAUUUGCAAAAGCAUAAUGAUUAUGUGUCCUGAAGGAAUUUUACAGAACAUUUAAUAUAUGG